rnacentral:rRNA from 1 species
UGAGGAAUAUUGGACAAUGGGCGCAAGCCUGAUCCAGCAAUGCCGCGUGCAGGAUGAAGGCCUUCGGGUUGUAAACUGCUUUUGUACGGAGCGAAAAGGUCUGCCCUAAUACGGUGGGCUCAUGACGGUACCGUAAGAAUAAGCACCGGCUAACUACGUGCCAGCAGUCGCGGUAAUACGUAGGGUGCGAGCGUUAAUCGGAAUUACUGGGCGUAAAGCGUGCGCAGGCGGUUAUAUAAGACAGAUGUGAAAUCCCCGGGCUCAACCUGGGACCUGCAUUUGUGACUGUAUAGCUAGAGUACGGUAGAGGGGGAUGGAAUUCCGCGUGUAGCAGUGAAAUGCGUAGAUAUGCGGAGGAACACCGAUGGCGAAGGCAAUCCCCUGGACCUGUACUGACGCUCAUGCACGAAAGCGUGGGGAGCAAACA